GGAAUCUUCCACAAUGGACGAAAGUCUGAUGGAGCAACGCCGCGUGAGUGAAGAAGGUUUUAGGAUCGUAAAACUCUGUUGUUGGAGAAGAACAGGGACUAGAGUAACUGUUAGUCCUUUGACGGUAUCCAACCAGAAAGCCACGGCUAACUACGUGCCAGCAGCCGCGGUAAUACGUAGGUGGCAAGCGUUGUCCGGAUUUAUUGGGCGUAAAGCGAGCGCAGGCGGUUUUUUAAGUCUGAUGUGAAAGCCUUCGGCUUAACCGAAGAAGUGCAUUAGAAACUGGGAAACUUGAGUGCAGAAGAGGACAGUGGAACUCCAUGUGUAGCGGUGAAAUGCGUAGAUAUAUGGAAGAACACCAGUGGCGAAGGCGGCUGUCUGGUCUGUAACUGACGCUGAGGCUCGAAAGUAUGGGGAGCGAACA
rnacentral:rRNA from 1 species